GUUGCUUUGAUAUGCGAGAAUGAUAUGGUUACAAAUGAUUAGAACCUCCUUUUAUAUAUUAGAGGAAUUUCACUUAUGGUACAAUUCUAAUUACAGAAGAAAAUCCCAUGAUUAGCUAAAUAAUCGUUCUUGAUUUGAUCCGUUCCGAGAUUUCCGCCAUGAUCCUCGACCAACCAUGGAUAUCUCGGCUUUCUGUUAUUAUGCUAUCUUCGGUCUUGCUCGAUAUCUAUCCCGUUUGGUCUCGAUCAUCACUGGACAUCGAAUCCCGAACUCGAUACCUUAUCUUCGUGUCUCAGUCUGAUAUAAUACGGGGCUCCGAUCCUCGACCCGUCCCCCUGGUCUUGGUUAAUCAAUAAAAUCGGGUGGACUCGAUUUUAGCCGUAUACAAGUUGCAAUAAUAGGAGAAAACGACAAAUUGUAGAAAAUUCAAAGCAGUGAUAGAGGUACCUUAGCAGCAGUGUAGAAACCGGCAGGCGGCAGGUCCGCUCCUCACGAUGCAAAAGCGUAGUCGUCCCGACGAAACUGUUGAACAGAACCUUCUGAGUGCUCUUGAAACAACCAUGUCUCCAAAUUUCUCUGUGCCGGCAAUGGAAAAUUUUUCCGUCUGCUUUGGUAACGGGUUAAGCGCACUAUUAGCCACUUUUAGAGGUGUUGUUUAAAAGAUAGCCAGUAUUUGUAAUGCAUUUUAUUUAAAUAUAGACAGAGAUGGUUCUUCCAAUUUCAUAGUAACUAAUCUUAGGGUACGCGUUUUGCACGUGUACCUAUAUCAGUGAAUAUAUAAACUUUGAAAAUUACAUACAUAUUAUUAUAUAGUUUGUUUGAUUUAUAAAAUAAAAUUUAAGAUUUUUUUUAAAUAUUAAAUAUUAUUCUCAUUUAGUUAGCUUAACAAAUGACGGAAUUUUAUUUAGAUGCUUUAUUGUGAUUUAUCUGGACUUAUAUCGUAUAAAAAUUGUUAUUAUUUAUGUAACCUACUACUGAAAAUAAAACAUAAAAUAUUUUUUAUCAUAAUUCUUUAAAGAUUUGUCAAAUUACACAAAUUAAAAUUAAAUCUUUUGGUCUUUUAAAAAUUUAAUGAAAACGUUGGCGUUAUACCUUCUAAAAAUUUGAUAGCGACAAUGUAAAAUUUAAAGAAUAACUAAUAUUGAACUAAUAUUUUACAAAAAAAAAACUUAGUAUAAAAAUUAUAGCGAGAUGUUUUCAUUUGUAGGACUUAAUGCAAGAACAAAAUAAUGACAACUCAUUUAUAAUCUAAUUGUCUUCUACGAUUUUAUCUUAUCAAAUAGGAAUAAUUUAAUAAUAAUAUUUUAGUGGAUUUUAGAUCCUAAAAUUAAAAAAAAAUUAAAUACUAUUUUGUCUAGAUUAUUACCUCCUCAUCUGCAAAUGUAAGCCUUGUAUUGUUGCAAUUUAAAAUUAUUUUACUAAUCCACUUUAAAUAAGUAAGAUUCUUAUUGAAAGUUAAAAUUUUCUUAAAGUAUUGAUAUGCACACAUUCGAUUCAAUUCUAUUUGAAUUAAGUGUGCACAAGUAUUUUAAUACCAACAUGACAGUAAAGUCAUAGAAGUUAAUUAAAAUAUUUUAAAAUUUAUUCAAAGAUAUACUUCAACUUAUAUUACGGAUCGAAAAGAGUAGAAAAUUUAUUUUCUGAUCCACAAACGCCACAAUAAAUGAUACUCCUAAUUAGUUUACAUGAGUUAAACAAUAAACAUCAGCAUAUUACAAGUUUGCCCACUAUCUCCACGUAAUUUAUUUGAAGAUAUUUUUAUAAUACCAAACAAUAAAUUUAUUUACAUAUUAUUUAACUUGUCAACUCUUUUGUAAACCACAACUUUUAUGCCAAUUAGGCUAUUAUAUCGAACAUGCCAACUAUGACAUUCUACUCCUCCAGAUCUCUUCAUCAUGACGGCUUCAAAAAAAGCAAUGACUAAUAUGUAUGAAUAGAAUAAAUAUCAAAGAAAGGUUAAAUAGUUAAAUUAACCUACAAUUGAAGUAAACUGGUACUUAAAAAAGUCUCAGCUUUUGAGCUCAAAGAUUAGAAAAAACUCGUAGAUGAACUUCAACAAAGGCAACUUUUAAAAUACAAUAAAUUUGUUUCCAUGCGCAAUGGAAUUGUACUAUUUAGUAAAAUUAAUAUUCCUUAAAAUAUUUAUGAUAAAAAUGUGAAUUACCAUGUUGAUUCUAUAAUAAUUAUUUUUUAUGGAUAAGAAAAAUUAUUUACCUACACCUAUGAAACUAUCAAAAAGGAUAUAUGCAAGGACGGCAAUUGCUUUAUUCUGAAAUAAAAUAAUUUUAGAUCUCGUAAUAUGUAAGAGGUAAUCAAGAUUAUUUUUUCUUACAAAAUAUGAGCACCUUAAGCUGGCAUAGAAAUUAGUAAUUAUAGAUUAAUUAUAAAAUACAAGGUAACAAUUAAUCUUGAUUUGAUAAGAUCUUGAAUUGAUAUAGUUAGAAUAUCUAACUGAUUUUUUAUUACGGAAUGCAAUGCUCCAAAACUUGCACAAAAUUUGUAAAUGAGCCAAUUUUAAUUGUAUAUGAGACAUUGUAAAUAAAAAUCACAAUUGAUAACUUUUUAAUUUACAAUUGUAUAUCAAAAAUACAGGAACGAUUAUUGUUACAUAACUUCAAGAACAAACUAAAGGUUAGAAAGCUUAAAUUUAGGCAAAUUUACCUCCAAAGACAUCGACAUUGUGAAGAGUUUAUGAUAGGCAAUUGCUAAUCAAUAGUUGCUAAAUUCGUAAGAGGAAAAUUCAUUAGUUGAAUUCUUCUACGAACCCACGAAAUUUGAAGAGCUUCUUCCGACGGCCAAUUGUAUGAUACCUAUAAUUUAAGAUGGAAAUAAAA
rnacentral:lncRNA from 1 species